GAAGAACAGAAGAGAUGUAGAAUGUUUAAGAUUCUAUUCAAAAUUUAACAAUUUGGUCAACAAAAAAAUAAUAAUAAUGGUAGUAAUGAACUGAAGAUGAACUGAUAUAUUGAUUUGCAGCUUUCUUUCAAUUGCAUCAUAGCUCAUGCCAUAUGCCACACCUAUAUUGACUAGCAAGAGAUGCAACCUGUUUUGAUGCUUGACUUUGAAAAUCUUAAUGCUCACUUGUUAACAAAA